GCCAUUUUCCCGGCGGCUCCCUGCACCUUUCCCAUCUCCGCCGCCGGCUCGCGCUGCGGCCCGCGAGGAGAAAACUAACAUCCCGACCCACAGCCCCGUCCGCCCGCCGCCAUCUCUGCCCGCCGCAGCCCAUCCCCCCAGCGCUCUCCGGUCCGAGCACAAAGCACACGCUCAGCUCCGCCGACCCCCGACGCACGCCCCGCUCUCCCUCCGCCCCGCCGAACCGCGGCUGAUCGCAGCGGAGCACUCACCACGGGGCUCGCGGGCCAAACUCACAAGCACAACAGACCAAACCCGUUAACGUCUCCAACUACGCCACACGUUUGCUCCCGCUCGUUAUAUAUCCUCCGACGCCCCGCCCCGCGCCGCUCCGAUCACUCCGCCGCGCACUACUUUCCCGCGGCCGUUGCCGCCGCUGUGUGGGGAGGACGGCAAUGAGCGCGGGGCGGUGCGCGGAGGCUGCCGCGGCGCUGUGAUGCGGCUCUGAGGGCUGGGCGGGGAUCGGCGCUCGGCGCUCGGCGCAUAAUGCGGCGCAGCAGAAAGCCCGGCUGGGAACCGCCGGAGCGGAGCCAUUGGAGCGGCCUGUUCAGUUCCUGUGCAGGGAAAUGGAAAUUGCAACACUGGAAACUUCAAUUCAAUGACAAGAAGCUGAAGAAAGCCAACGCACACAGCCCCAUGGCUGCAACCAGACAGAAGCUCAGGCAUUCUUCCACUUAUCAUCCAGGAGUUCUUCAGCCUGAACCCUCCGAGCAAGAUGGUCCCCCAGCCCUGCCAAUACGAUCUGUCGCAAGUAAGUCGCUUGUGCUUCUGUUGGGGGCUUCAUCUUUGGGUCAACAUAGAGGCCAGCAUCAGUGCAGACUGAGUUCACUGCAGGUUAAAAAAAAGAAAAAAAAAAAAGGGUGAGUUAAGAUUCAGCUGAUUGGUUUGCCCCCAAAAGAUGACAAUUCCCCCCAGAAUCCAUUUACCUGCUGUUGUCAGCUGCCCUCUCAACCGCCUGAUUUCCAGCAUGGCUUUGUAGCGGAGCCCAUUCUCUUCACAGAAUUUAGGAGUACAUCCAGAGUACUCACAGGCCCCCACUGCUCCUGGAAGUGAAUAGUCAAGUGGAGAAAACAACUUCACAAUUGAGUUGUAAUUAAACCAACUGUGGCACAGUACUGUCACAGUUAGCAUGAGCAUACUGCAGUUCCCACUCAGCCAGGGCUGUGUCAGCACAUGACUGUGGAGGCUGCCUAGAUCAGCCCAGGAAUUACACUUCUACACUCAGUCCUACAGCAGGAGGAUGGUUUUGUAUAAAGCUGAGGUCAGGGUGAUGGGGAGAGGAGAAUAUAAGUUAUCAGCAUAGGGAAGGAGCUGUGUGCAAUACCUAACAUCACCAUGAGGUCUCCGAGCUUCUGCAAUGACCCUUGCCCAGCCCAGAUCCUCUGCAUCUGUACAAGUCUUCCUUUUUUCCCCUUCAGCUUCACUGUCUCUUCCUCACUUGCUGCUGGCCUAAAAGAAACACAAAACAGCAUGAAUCAGGUUGUGCUCAAGGAAAGAGAGGUAUCAACAUCCCUACUAGGCUGGAUGGGGCCCUGGGCAGCCUGAUUUAGUGGGAGGUGUUCCUGCCUAUGGCAGGGCAUUGGAACUGGAUGGGCUUUAAGGUCACUUCCAACCCAAACUGUCCUAUGAUGCUAUGCUUCCAUAUAAACUGGGAAUUGGGCUCCCUCACUUACCUGUCAAACUCUUCAAAAAGCUCCCGAACGGUCAUGGCAGACACAAUGGUAAUGGUGUAAGGCAGGCAGUCAUGCUGCCUGCUUAGUGCCAGCAUCUUUGCAUAGCGGGGGGCAACAGGAAAAGUGGCCAUUACUCUGCCCAGGGGACUAAUAGGGCAGCUCAGCUUUGCUGCCUGCUGCUCCUUCAGCCUGUGGGAAGAGAAGUCAUGCAAUGAAGUAACAUCUGUACUCAUGCAAACCCGUGUUUCUGCCCUUCUGGGUACUUUAUCUCCAUGAGGAAAUCUGUGGGGGACCACAGCCAUUACCUUCCUGUCAUAGGGGGCUCCUUCAGGGCACCCAGGGCUAUCAGUAACUCCUCAGCUGCUGCAAGUGCUUCUGUUGGAGGUGGUGUUGGGAAUGGGAAGUUGAUUACCUACAGGUACCAAACAGAAUGUCUCUCAGCACAUCACUGACAUGGCAGAGUCUGUAUCAGUAAGAAGCACAGAAGGGAGCGAAAACCUCACCUUCCAUUACAAAGACCAAAGAAAAACAUUUAGAAUGUGUGCCAGAAGCAAGAGGAAAGGACACAUAAUAGGAGGAAACACUUAGAACAAACCCAUUAGGAAAUGUGAAAACAAGCAUGACCCUCAGCGGCCACUGAUUGCAGGCACCGCCUGGAGCAGGCUGCUUAACAUCUAACUCUAAGCACUGUGCUUCCUGAAAGCAUACAACUGUCUCCAAAACACAACCCCUAUUUUGAUAGGGGACUUUUCAGUAGUGAAAACAUGAUGCAAAAGCUCUUAUGACCAGAAAAGGUCUGGUAAGGUCUGCUGAAUUCAUAACAGCAUCUGCUUUUUGCAGAAUGGAAACCAAAUCCCAGGACUCUCAUUUCUAACAUGGAUUUGUGUUUGUUUCUGGCUCCAACGGUGCCUUCAUUUGCAGG